rnacentral:rRNA from 1 species
CGACGUGAGGAACCUGCCUUUCAGAGGGGGACAACAGUUGGAAACGACUGCUAAUACCGCAUGACACAUUGGGGUCGCAUGGUCCUGAUGUCAAAGAUUUAUCGCUGAAAGAUGGCCUCGCGUCUGAUUAGCUAGUUGGUGAGGUAACGGCCCACCAAGGCGACGAUCAGUAGCCGGACUGAGAGGUUGAACGGCCACAUUGGGACUGAGACACGGCCCAG